rnacentral:snRNA from 1 species
GUACUCGUUUCGGCGGUACAUAUACUAAAUUUGGAAGAGUAGCCAUGGCCCCUGCGCAAGGAUGGCACGCAAAAUCGUGAAGCGUUCCAUAUUUUU